rnacentral:sRNA from 1 species
ACAUAGUCCCGAUAGGAACGACAUCCUUUUUCGUUGCGGCUGGAGCGAAGCGGAAGCCGUAACGAAAAAGAUAUAGUGGAUAGCGGGAAAUAGC